GACGAACGCUGGCGGCGUGCUUAACACAUGCAAGUCGAACGGAAAGGCCUCUUUCGGGGGGUACUCGAGUGGCGAACGGGUGAGUAACACGUGAGUAACCUGCCCUUGACUUUGGGAUAACUUCAGGAAACUGGGGCUAAUACCGGAUAGGAGCUCCUGCUGCAUGGUGGGGGUUGGAAAGUUUCGGCGGUUGGGGAUGGACUCGCGGCUUAUCAGCUUGUUGGUGGGGUAGUGGCUUACCAAGGCUUUGACGGGUAGCCGGCCUGAGAGGGUGACCGGCCACAUUGGGACUGAGAUACGGCCCAGACACCUACGGGAGGCAGCAGUGGGGAAUAUUGCACAAUGGGUGGAAGCCUGAUGCAGCAACGCCGUGUGCGGGAUGACGGCCUUCGGGUUGUAAACCGCUUUCGCUCAUGACGAAGCUUUGUGUGACGGUAGUGGGUAAAGAAGCACCGGCUAACUACGUG
rnacentral:rRNA from 1 species